GCCGGGUGCAGUGGCACUUGCCUACGUGCCUGUAGUCCCAGCUACUCGGGAGGCUGAGGUGGGAGGAUCGCUUGAGCCCAGGAGUUCUGGGCUGCAGUGCGCUAUGCCGAUCGGGUGUCCGCACUAAGUUCGGCAUCAAUAUGGUGACCUCCCGGGAGCGGGGGACCACCAGGUUGCCUAAGGAGGGGUGAACCGGCCCAGGUCGGAAACGGAGCAGGCCAAAACUCCCGUGCUGAUCAGUAGUGGGAUCGUGCCUGUGAAUAGCCACUGCACUCCAGCCUGGGCAACAUAGCGAGACCCUGUCUCU
rnacentral:SRP_RNA from 1 species